AUGAGCGGGCGGCCUGGUCUGUAUUUAUUUAGUGCUCUGGGGGAGUUUUUCUCUUUACGCAGCGCCUGUAGUCACGGCUGGAGCCUCGGCUGGGGGACUAGGAGGGACGGGAACGGGCGCAGGGGGAAUCCGAACUGUACCUGUUCGGAGAUGCGCGACCUUGCAGCGGGGCUGGCGGAGCCCCGGAGGGGGCCGCGGGCUGGUGGGCCGGCCCGGCGGCCCGGGGCGGCCGAGGCCGGUGCAGCCUGUGACUCCGGCUGGAGGGCCGCGGGGACGGUUGGGUCCCUGCGGCUCGUGAGGGCGGCCGGCCCCUCCCCAGCCUGUACCCCCGCCGUCGCGCCUGGGCACAGGACUUGGGGCUCCGGGGGCAGCGCCGCUCAGCCCGAGGAGCGCAGCGCCCUGCCGGGGACACCAGGACGCGGGCUGCGAGACGCCCAUGCGAGGCCCCGCAGUGGGCACAUCCUUCCCGGACUGAGUCUAGUCAACAUCUCCCCGCCGGGGCCCCAUAGAAGGACCUGCAGAUACGGGCCUUCCUCGCGCUGCACCGUCCGGAGUGGCUGCGCUCCGCGACCCUGGGAACCUUACCAGGCGUCUCCAGGCCGCGCUUUCAGGAUCUGUACCGGCAGGACUGCGACAGGCCCUACGCGACGGGCCCUACGGCGGACCAUUGCUCGCAGGUUCAGUGAAUUGCUGUGUAAAGCGCUUGGCUCAGAAAGGAGCACGUCCAACGCCUAGUAGUUAUUCACGUGCUGUUAUGAUAUCCAGAGACUUUGCUUCAUUAUAGAAAAGUGAUCUCAAAUCCCAAGGUGCGUUGCUUCCUUCUGUGAAUGUUCUGACUGUGAGAACCCAGGGGAUCAGAAGACAGAGACGAGGAAGGGUGACGGGUGUGCGGGCAUACGCGCCGGGGUGCGCGUGUGCAUGUGUGUGUGCAUGUGUGUGCGUGUGUGUCUGUGGCCCCACCUGGUGCGACAGUCCUGAGAACUAUGAAGGAAACCAGACAAGUUUCCGACAAGACAGGAAUAGAUGUCGCAGGUUAUUCCCCAAGGCUCAAGCAGUGUAUUCAUGUCAAGGCCCUUCAAGCUCUGAUUCAGAGCCCUUGUGCUUUAAUUUGAACUCUAAUCACUUUUUUUCUUGAACAAGCAUUUUACUCAUUCCUUGGUACGUGCCAGACAUGGGUCCAAGUGCCUUACAAAUAGUAACUUCCUUGCUUGUAGGAGGCAGGUGUGAGAAGACACCCACUUCACAGAUGUGGAAACUGGGGAGCAAUAGUACAAAAAUCAAUGGGUGUGUAAAAUACUCUGAAAAGUGGGAAGCUGUCAGAGCCUGCACAUUUGCGCAGUCCUGUAGACCUCCUCAGUGACUUUCAGGAGCGUUUCUUUUGUAAGUGACUCUAAACCUUCACAGUCCAGUCCCCAGCCUGCGUCAGAUUAGAAGCCAUGGGCCACAGGUCGGGGUGAGGCUUGAGACACGGACGACAAGCCGGAGGAGCUGGUUGUGAGAUAGUAGAAGCACCGUACAGUGCAGGCCUGAGAACUCAGGGGCACACUCAGCCCAGGACGUGCCCACAGUUCUCUGCUGGGCCGGGCCAGGUGGCCCGGGUCGGGCUGACGACUGCACCGUCAGGACGUGAGGCAACGUUCCUCUGAGGAUGCCCAGGAGCACAUGCUCUCUUUUCAACUUGUCAACAGGUCUUUUUUUUUUUUUUUUACUUUAGAUACAAUUGACACAGACCAUC
rnacentral:lncRNA from 12 species